rnacentral:rRNA from 1 species
AGUGAACGCUGGCGGCAGGCCUAAUACAUGCAAGUCGAACGGCAGCACGGCAGAGCUUGCUCUGUGGGUGGCGAGUGGCGGACGGGGUGAGGAAUACAUGGGAAUCUGCCCAGUCGUGGGGGAUAACGUAGGGAAACUUACGCUAAUACCGCAUGCGCCCUUCGGGGAAAGCCGGGGACCUUCGGGCCUGGCGCGAUUGGAUGAGCCCAUGUCGGAUUAGCUAGUUGGCGGGGUAAUGGCCCACCAAGGCGACGAUCCGUAGCUGGUCUGAGAGGAUGAUCAGCCACACUGGAACUGAGACACGGUCCAGACUCCUACGGGAGGCAGCAGUAGGGAAUAUUGGACAAUGGGCGCAAGCCUGAUCCAGCCAUGCCGCGUGAGUGAAGAAGGCCCUCGGUUGUAAAGCUCUUUUGUCCGGAAAGAAAAGCGCCGGGUUAAUACCCUGGUGUCCUGACGGUACCGGAAGAAUAAGCACCGGCUAACUUCGUGCCAGCAGCCGCGGUAAU